rnacentral:tRNA from 1 species
ACAUUUAUAACUCAAUUGGAUAGAGUAUUGGAUUUCGGUCCCAAUUGUUGUAGGUUCAAAUCCUACUAAAUGUA